rnacentral:rRNA from 1 species
AUUGAACGCUGGCGGCAGGCCUAACACAUGCAAGUCGAACGGUAACAGGAAACAGCUUGCUGUUUCGCUGACGAGUGGCGGACGGGUGAGUAAUGUCUGGGAAACUGCCUGAUGGAGGGGGAUAACUACUGGAAACGGUAGCUAAUACCGCAUAACGUCGCAAGACCAAAGAGGGGGACCUUCGGGCCUCUUGCCAUCGGGUGUGCCCAGAUGGGAUUAGCUAGUAGGUGGGGUAACGGCUCACCUAGGCGACGAUCCCUAGCUGGUCUGAGAGGAUGACCAGCCACACUGGAACUGAGACACGGUCCAGACUCCUACGGGAGGCAGCAGUGGGGAAUAUUGCACAAUGGGCGCAAGCCUGAUGCAGCCAUGCCGCGUGUAUGAAGAAGGCCUUCGGGUUGUAAAGUACCUUCAGCGGGGAGGAAGGGAGUAAAGUUAAUACCUUUACUCAUUGACGUUACCCGCAGAAGAAGCACCGGCUAACUCCGUG